GAUGAACGCUAGAGGGAGGCCUAAUACAUGCAAGUCGAGCGGUAAGUUUCUUCGGAAACCUAGAGCGGCGCACGGGUGAGUAACGCGUACAUGACCUACCUUUAAGACUGGGAUAGCCCUGGGAAAAUGGGAUUAAUACCGGAAGUGAUAAUACGUAUAAAGAUGUAUUAUUAAAGCUGAGGCGCUUAGAGAUGGGUGUGAUGCUGAUUAGCUCGUUGGUAGGGUAACGGCCUACCAAGGCGACGAUCAGUAGGGGGCGUGAGAGCGUGGCCCCCCACACGGGUACUGAGACACGGACCCGACUCCUACGGGAGGCAGCAGUAAGGAAUAUUGGUCAAUGGAGGAAACUCUAACCAGCCAUCCCGCGUGCAGGAUUAAGGUCCUAUGGAUUGUAAACUGCUUUUGGUAGGGAAGAAACGCCUUCAUUUAUGAGGGUCUGACGGUACCUACAGAAUAAGCACCGGCUAACUCCGUGCCAGCCGCCGCGGUAAUAC
rnacentral:rRNA from 1 species